rnacentral:rRNA from 1 species
AGUGAACGCUGGCGGUAGGCCUAGCACAUGCAAGUCGAACGGCAGCACAGUAAGAGCUUGCUCUUACGGGUGGCGAGUGGCGGACGGGUGAGGAAUACAUCGGAAUCUACUUUUUCGUGGGGGAUAACGUAGGGAAACUUACGCUAAUACCGCAUACGACCUACGGGUGAAAGCAGGGGAUCUUCGGACCUUGCGCGAUUGAAUGAGCCGAUGUCGGAUUAGCUAGUUGGCGGGGUAAAGGCCCACCAAGGCGACGAUCCGUAGCUGGUCUGAGAGGAUGAUCAGCCACACUGGAACUGAGACACGGUCCAGACUCCUACGGGAGGCAGCAGUGGGGAAUAUUGGACAAUGGGCGCAAGCCUGAUCCAGCCAUACCGCGUGGGUGAAGAAGGCCCUCGGGUUGUAAAGCCCUUUUGUUGGGAAAGAAAAGCAGCAGGUUAAUACCCCGCUGUUCUGACGGUACCCAAAGAAUAAGCACCGGCUAACUUCGUG